UGGAAUCAAUAAGAUUGACAUGAAUAAAGUGGAAUUGAGGAGCUUCAUGUUUUCCUUUGUAUUUAUGGGAAUACCUGGAUAAAUAAAAUCAACAUAAACAAUAAGAAUUAAAGAGUCAGAUAGUUCUUCAAUCUUCAUUUUAAUGGCUUGAUUCUCUUCACUCUCCAUUACUAUCUCUAUGGUUUGUUCCUCUUCAACUUCCAAUGAAAUCUCCAAAAUGGGAUAUUUUCCAUUCCUUAGGACACAUAGCUCAAGCGCUUCAUUUUCAAUCAUAGCAAAAGGAAACUUGAUCAAAGCUUCUAGAUCUGAUCCUUCGACAUUAUACUCAACUUCGAAUUGAGUUCGGAUUGCUCUUGCCUUUCUUCCCUUUCGACUAAAUCUAAUAGAUGUUUGGGUUGGGUGUCCUUGCACUCGGCUACAAAUCCAUAUUGGGCUUGAGUUAUGGUUGGAAAAUCCCUCCCAUCAUAUCCAUAUGCACCUCUUUCGUGAUAGUUACUAUUCCGUUGAUGCGUUUGUAUCUGAUUGGUUCCAAGUCAUCUUCCUCCUUUGAAUCUUCUUUAUAAACAUACUAUUGGCGUGCAGGAAUUGGUUGAUAUGCACCUCUUCUAUUAUCUUUUGUUGCAUGGAUUUCUGUAGAGCCCAUUUGGUUCAUAGUCAUCUUCCUCCUUUGAGUCUUCCUUGUAGGCAUAUUUUGCCUACAUGCAUAAAAGGUCCAUUGAAAGGGUCACCAUGAGCUAAGUUUACCCUUGUUCUUCUAUCAUCAUACCGAUCCAUGUUUGUACUGAUUAUCAAAGCAUCAAGAUGAUCUACAAUUUCUUUGCAGCGCCUCUUGAUACGGUUGAAUUUGUGAUCUACCCGAUGCUCUAGUUGUUGCUCCAAACGUUGCAACAUGUCAUCCCUUGGUUCAAGGGCUCCAGCUCUUUGAUCACUGUCACUAGGCCAUUGUUAUCAUUACCGCCAGUGGCCAUCCUUGCUCUGAUACUACUUGAUGCAGUGUGAAGCUUAACAAGAUGUCAAGAUAACACACUCACACACGAGUAAAAAAUUGAGAGAAAUUCUCUGCAGUAUUUUAUUAAUCAAAAUCUGUCUCUGAAAUUCACAACUUUUAGGAGUAUUUAUAGAGUUUAAAUUCCUAAACUAACUAGGAAAAUAUAA
rnacentral:misc_RNA from 1 species